rnacentral:rRNA from 2 species
GGACGGGAUAAGUGCUGAAAGCAUCUAAGCAUGAAGCCCCCCUCAAGAUGAGAUUUCCCAACUUCGGUUAUAAGAUCCCUCAAAGAUGAUGAGGUUAAUAGGUUCGAGGUGGAAGCAUGGUGACAUGUGGAGCUGACGAAUACUAAUCGAUCGAAGACUUAAUCAAAUU